GGGCGGAGCUGGGGCUCGCGUCACAGUGACUGCCACUGUUGCCUGGGGAACGGUAACAGCGGCUUGGCAGAGCAGGGGUCCUCUGUUUCUGCCUCAACGUUGGGCAACCUCACCCCCUCUCCAGGAGACCAUCGCCAGGGUCCCGCGAUUUUAGGAAUCUGGCAGGCCAAACCAGGCUGGGAAAAGUUCCGGCGGGGCUCCACGGAUGCCCAGGGCGAUACCCAAGUAUCCCCAGAAUGUUUCAGACCUGCACAGACAGUGUGAAGGGGCCUCUCUUUGAAAGCUGUCCCGGCUGGGAUUUCCAGAAAACUAGAGGAGGAAAACGAGGCUUCAUUUCUGAGGAAGAAAAACAUGAGGAAAGAGUUCCCAGAGAGAGAAGACAAAGGCAGUCGUUGUUGCAGCAGAAGCCCAAGGCUGAAGAUUGAAGAACUGAAUAUGUAACUUUGUAAGGGACCUGGAGACAAGGAAAAUCUUGUCAGGUGAGUUGGAUGCUAAAACCUUCUCUUUAGAGAUUAACUGUCCAUAUUUAUUAUUUUCUCAUCACAGAAAAAAUGUAAAAAUAAUGGCAGGGUAGGACCUUUCUUAAAGUAUUACGUAGUGAAAACAGUACUUUAGAAACAGAUUUUAUCCACUUACUACUCUCCCACACAUGGUUAUACUCCGGAUUUAGAUGUAAAUAAGAGUGAUAAUCUGACACAGGGAAUUAUGCUCCUCUUGACAAGAGACAUUAGCAACAGUCUCUCUUUUUAGGCCAUAAAUGUAAUUUGAUCUAAACACUUUGUACUAAGAUUCUUAUGUUUUAUGUCAAAGCAAUAAAGUUACUAAGCUGCGUUAGCA
rnacentral:lncRNA from 13 species